AGCAGGGAGCAGGGACUGGUCUGAAGUCACAGAGCAGAAUUCCAGGUGGAAUACGGGCCUCUCCAGAUGCAGCCUUGCCUUUCCUAAUCCACCCACCACCACAGACUCUGUUUGAGGUGCUGCUGCAGCCCGAAUUUUACAGCCCCAGCCCUCCACUUACACAUCACCUCCAAGUUCACUGCACCGAAUUAAGUCUCCCAACACUUCUGUGAAGGGGCUAAAUACAUCCAGCUUGCACAGCCCGUGCCAAAAACAAGUCACUAAAUGCAUUGAACUCCGUGUCAUAAAAUAAGGAACAGUCCCAAUAAAUUCCUGCUUUGCCUUUCAAGGUUGCCGUGGAAUUCAGGCCGUGCCGAGCUGGGAGCGGCUGAUCCGCAGGGGUCUCUUUUCACCAGUUACUACCAGAGUGUGUGUGGAGACAGUACCCAGCAUAUGUCAGUGUACUAAAAGCAGUUAUUUUAAUUCAUGGCCCUUCCUCCAGCAGUCAGCAGGAUGCCUUAUUCAUUUGCCAGCAGGAGGGUAAAUCUAUUUCAAAAUGAUUGAAAUAUUAUGCACAGCUUGAAUGAAUGUUUAAAAUAAAUACAGUAGAAGAAACAUGUUGUUUGUGAAAUGAGAAGAUAAAUUAAGCUCAGUGCAGACACAUUAUUCCCAAGCCUGGCUGCUUGGCUUUCACAGCAAAAUCCUUCAGGCCUUAAUCCAGCAGCAAGUACAUGGUGUGAUUUCCUCUCCUGGAGGAGCAGGACUUUCUCUCCAGACCUUUGGAGGGUUUGGACCAGGCUGUUGCCUCCACAACAUCUUAGGGAUGGGCCUGUGCAGGGCCAGGGGUUGGACUCGAUGAUUCUUGUGGGUUCCUUCCAACUGAGAAUAUCCUGGGAUUCUGUGUUCCACUUUGUGGAAGGACUAACGGCAGGAUGGACAGACAGACAGGGAGAGGAGAACCCUGAGCCCUGAGCAGAGCUGGAAAAGUGAAACCCUGUCACGGGGGAAGGAACCAGCCUUUGUUUUCCAGUAUCGGGUCUGUGGUUCCCUCCAGCCACUUCUGCUCAGCAAGAUUAAAUUUAUUUUCAUCCUCUUAACUGAACUUGCUUUUAAUGGCAGUGGGGGUGACAGCCCCCAAAAUAGACUUCCCAUGGAGCCCGUCCCGCCCGGCCCCGUGUGCCGCCUGUCCCCGAUAACCCUCCUCCCGGCCUGGGCUUUAUCUCUGCCAUGACAAACAGCUCUCCCUGGACAGAAAGAGGAAAUUCCACUCAUUGUUGUGCUGUGCUGGCCCUGCUGCAGCUCUAUCUCCUGCCUGCUCGGGGCUGGCAGGGCUUCCUGAGGUGCCAAUCAGCGGGAGGCUCAGGGAGGAGGGGUUCAGGCCAAGAUUCCCAAUAAGUCCCAGUAUGAGCCCGCUCUAAGUAAGCCUGACAGCUCAGCCAUGGCCCUGCCAGCUGUGCAUACAUCCCCUUUGUACCUCCUGAUCCUGCAGUAGCCAGUCCCUCCUGUACCACCAAAACAUGGAAAAGAACCAUCACCCCUCCCCUGCUGCUUCUGAGGCGGGUGGGACUGUCAGGAGAGUGAACAAUAGGUACCAUCCCUGCAGGCUCAUCCAGCAGCUUCUGUUUGAGUUGUGGCAGCACUUAGAACUUCUAAAAAUGGAACGGCACCUCCUCAUGCUUGUGCUGUAGACAAAGGGCAAAAGGUUCAAUAUUUGGGUUGUGAAUAGCGCUGAGGUUUAGGAUUUUGACAUGGCUUUCCAAGGGCACUGCCUGAAAAUGCAUUUUUUAGGGACUUUCUAAACUUUGGAGGGUGGACACCCUCUCCUGGACAGGCGCUGGAUAUGAUUUGAUUUAUUUUUCCCACUAGCACUAACAUCCCAAAACAGCUUUCCUUAAAUUUGGAAUCUUCCCUGCCUCCCAUUGCGCAGCUGGGUUUGACCCUUCCAAUGGAUUUCCCUUGGUCUUGCUAUUUUUGCACAGCGAAGGUACUUCUUUUACAGGCACCCUGGUGCAGCCUGGGGUAAGAGGUGUAGCUUGUAAGCCUUGAGUUCUGCCUGUGCUGCUUUCUGGGGAAAUCACACCCAGGGAACUGCACAGGAAGCCAAGAAAGGAAAUGCAGCAGCAGCUCUGGAAGGACUGAGCAGCCUCUUGGUUCAGACGAGCCUGGGGCUUCUGAGACAUCAUUUCACUUCCCUCCUCCCUCCUGGACUUCUGUGCAUGGCCACUGAUCACUCACUGUUUGCUUGAGGGGAUAAAAACUGUCCUUCCAGAGGGAUAAUCUGCAGGGCACUGAGGUUGGAGGGGCUCAGAUACUCUGGUGAUUGGGACUGUAAAAAUAUAUUUACAGUUGGCACUGUUAGUUUGCCAGGUUGCAAAAACAGUCCAGUUACAAUACUGGGCAGUAUGUGGGAAUUACCUGAAAGGUCUCAGCUCCUGGUUCAAUACCCCACAGUUCUGGCCCUGCUGCAGCACUUUCAGUCACUGGUGUGUGAGGAGGACAGGACUCAGGGUGCUGACCUUUCCAGCCAGAGGUGAAGGGUGUGACAUUGGUGCCUUAAGGAGAGGAAAGACUGAGACAGUUGAGAACUGGCUUUUAAAGUGCUUUAGUGACAUAAUUGUUCAUAACAUUGUUCUCUGUACAAUGUAAGUGUUUAUGUCCCCUGUUACAGAUGGUAAAUCUGAGAUACAUGAAGUGAUUUGUUCUGAACCAACGAAGGAGUUGAUGCUACACUGGGACUGAGACCUGGACACUCCUGGUUCCCAGAGUUUGAUUUCCAUACUCACACUGUUCGUUUGCAGCAUAACUUUCUCUUACCAUCAUCUGACCUUCUUAAUUCUCUCCUUCCUUUAAAACCACUCAGUCUGGCAGCUUUUAAUCAAUAUUUCCAUUUUACCACAGCCUUGAAAAUAGAUGAGUUGACUUACAUCAAGGGAAAGAGUUCCCAAAAAAGUCCCUUUGCUCUGCCACUUGAACUCUCAGCAACAGAACCAGCUGGAAAAUAAAAAUAAGGAAAAUUAUUUCCUCUUAAACCAGCGGAAAAUAAAAAAAGGCUGUGAGGGAGCAGAAAUUCACCAAAAAGUUAUUGAAGCUUCUUGUUGCAUUUGAAACUUAAAUGUCAACAGUUAUACCCAGCAAAUGUUCCCACUGCUCAGCUCCCCCGAGCAGAAGGUGUUUCCUGGAGGGAUGCACAUUUUGCUGUGCUGAGAUGGAUGGGUUGGGACUAAAUCUGAAGCCAACUGUUGGUGGGAGGCUCCUGUGCUGUGUUUUUGUUUGAACAAGACCUUGGUGCUUCAAAGGGAAAGAUAAUCUGUGUUUGCUCUGGGGUUUAUUUUGGAGGAUACAUCCAGAGCUGGGGAUUUCCUCUCUCCUCCCAGUGGAGUGCUCUGUGCCAGGUGGGAAGCACUCAAUGUGUUCUCCAUCUCCCCACCUUGCUGCACAGUUGUCUUCAGAUGUUUCCUUGUUCCACAGCCAUCCAGCUCCUGGGGAAGUGAAGGGUGUCUGAAGGAUGAGACAGUUGGGAAUAAGCUGCAAAAUUCCUCUCUUCCCAUUGUGGGUCUCUGCUUCUUGUCUUUGCAGUUUUCAUUUCCACUUGGCUAUUUUUUCCCCUGAAAGGAAUCAAAGGCUUUCACAGGGGAGAAGUCCUAUUUUGGAGCUCUGGAUGGCAGCAGCACAGCCCCAGUUUUGCCUUUCCUGGUUUCCUAAGCACGUCCCGUCCCUUAAUGCUCCGUUUCUGUUGCUGUACCAGCCUCAAAGAAAGAAGGAAGAAAUUGUUUCAGAAUGUUCAAAAGUGCUCAAGUGUUCCCAUGCCCGAGAGUCUGUUUUCAUGGAGGACUUUGGCAACCAGAAAUGUACCUUUUUUUGAGGUUUUGGCUCCUAAGUCUCCCAGGUUUCUUUAGCUUUGCUUUCUGUCUCCCCUUUUCAUGUUCUCAUUCCAGCAGCUGUGUAUCUUUAACAUGUCCUAAAGCUUCUUUCCAUAUUUUCAGGAUUUUUAACACCCUUUCAUGCCUCUGGGAACCUGAGUUGGACAUUCCAACAUAGCAGCUCCAUAAAAUGUCCCGCAGGUAUAAAAAUAUAAAUUCUAUGAAAUACAUACAGUGUAGUUCAAUAGCAUUCUGGAGAUCACUGGUGUCCUGCUCCUCUUUGAUUUGAGGCUUUUGACAGAAGAAAUGCUGUUUUAGAGUAAAACCAAACCUGUGCUUCUCUUUUGUUUUACUAAGUUAUUAAUCCUCUGGAGAUUGAAUUCUUUCUGAUGACAAGGACAGUCCCAUGAGUACCUGAACUACAUUUUUGUGUCACUGGUUUCACUGACUUCAAGGACAAACCCAGGAUUGUCAUAACCUUUCUUCUCUUUGGCUUUAGCUUCUUUCUCGUUGUAGAGGCAGAAGGCACAGUGGGGGGUCUCCACAGCCACUGUCUUGCUGAAGUUCUGGAAGUCAACUCUGUAUUUCCCUUCUUUGGUCUUGGACACGAUGGGAGCGAAGCGGUAGCCCCAGAGCACCUCCUCUGGGAUGUAGGACGUCCUCACCUGGCAGGUGGCACUGGUGGCUUCCACAGUGCCAUCUAAAAACACCACCAGCUCAAAAUCCUGCUGCAGGAUGGUCUCUGCUGCCAUGUGGAAGAAGGGGCUGUUCUUGUCUAUGAUGUGAUAAAUGGUGAGUGGGGAGAUGAAGAAGAGAUUCUCGUUGCCAGCAUCGACUACAAACUCUAUGUUGACCUGGUCCAAAAUGAUUGUCUCUCCUUCCGGGGUGAUGGUGGUCUUGAGGAGCUUCCCAUAGAUGUGGCUCCCAAUCAGGAGGCUCUUCCUGAGGUUUGCCACCCGGAUGAGGAGGCAGAGCUUCCCCCCGCGCUUGCUGAUGACGGCGUUCUUGCUGAAGGUGAUGGUCUUGGCCCUGUUCUUGGACCUGGAGAUCUUGGCCAGGAUGGCCCCACACAUGAAGGAGUUGAUGAUCACCCCCAGGAUGGACUGGAAGAUGAGCAGGAAGAUGGCAGUGGCACACUGCUCUGUGACACACCUGAAGCCGUAGCCGAUGGUCACCUGGGUCUCCAGGGAGAACAGGAAAGCCGAGGUGAGGCCGUUGAUGUUCUCCACGCAGGGGGUGUGGUUGAUGGAGGGGUUGAACUCGGGCAGGUCUUUGUGGAUGUAGGCCACCACGUACCAGAGCAGCCCGAACAGAAACCAGCUGCCCAAGAAGGCUGAAAUGAAGAUAGUCAUUUUGUAUCUCCACCUGAGGUCCAGGAUGGUGGUCCAUAUAUCAAUCAAAAAGACAAACCUGGACUGUUCCACAUUGCCAAACUCUAUGUUACACCUCCCAUCCUUGGAGACCAGCCUGGCCCUGCGCCGGCUGCGCUCCCGGAGGUGGCUGGUGAAGCGUUGCCGGAGGUAGUUGAACAUUCCCUCUGCUGCUGCCGUUCUGGAGAGUGAGAAACAACAAACACACAGGUUUAAUUUGUACCUGCAGGCGAGAGGGAAAUUCUGACAGAGUCUCAAGAUGCUCGUUUAGGAAAGAGUUGUGUCAUUUGCAUAUUUUCCCACAGCUGGUGGGGAAAGUUUCAGUGAGCACAUGAGCAAAAGAACAGUUCCUUGCCUAAGGAGCAUUCCAGGAAAAAAUAAUCAUUUCGGCUUGCUCAGUAAACUCAGAGUCAGUCAACUGUUAAUAUUGUCCUCUGCUUAGCUGAGUAAGUGGAAGCAGAGAGAAAAGGUAACUUCAUCGUGGGCAUUUGUGGGGAAAAUCAGCAGGGUGAGGUGUUCCUGCCUUUUAGGAGAUGGAUCAUGGCCUGUUUUUGCAAGUGUGUGUGGUACCUUGGCAUGAGGAGACCUGGGUGUGACCUGGGGAACAAAUUUGGGAAUAAUCAAGAGUGGAUGCAAAAGGCAUAAUUAAGUCAGACAUGCAGUUUUUCUAGUGUAGUUAUAGAUGGGGUUUGAAGGUGUGAAAUUCAAACUCUGGAUUCACAAAAGCACCUCAAAUAGGAUUUUUAGGUGAGAAUAAGAGAGGAAACUAAAUUUCAGCAUCAGGAGAAUUGGGGGUUUACCCACCACAAAGGGGAUGCUGAGACUAAAGGAUCAGAUUCAGAAAUCCUUUCUGAAAGGGUAACUCUGCAUCCCUGUGGAUUUUAUCCUUUAUGGUUGGCCAUGUUAACAGGGAACCCAGGGAAUAUGAGUCAUUGAUGGAGAAAACACUACUCAGACUGGAGUAUGGAUCAAUGUGCAUCUGGAAAAUCCCCAGUGUUGGAGUUACUCAGACAGAGAGGGGACGGGCUGAUCUGCAGUCAGGGGCUGCCUGCUGUGUUCACACACAGAUCUGGGGCCUGACUUUGACCCAAAACUUAGGACUGUUCUUAGAAAUAAUUGAUUUCUGAGUUUAUCAGCCUCCAAGCACAUGUUUGGUUGCCAGAGCGGAUGGUGGAUGAGUGCACAGCUCUGACCCACCCCACGUUAUUCAGCCUUCGGUGACCAAAACUCUUCUCGUGCAGCUGAACCAAACCCUGUGCUGAGAUCAGGUGUCUUGGGGCAAAAUGCUUCAGCUACAAACCCACUGAAAUCAGGGAAGAACUUGAGGGCAAAAUAUUCUCCCUUCUGCCUCAAACAAAGGAUGUUCUGAGCCUGCUGUGCCUCUAAGCAUGAGCAUCCCCAGCCACAGAGAGCUGAGGUUUUGGGGUCCUGCAGCUGUUGGGGGGGAUGUUUUCUUUAGAAGGACCCGGGUUUGAUGAGAUGGGAGAUGCUGAGAGCUUUGUAAGUGUUUGCUAUUGUUACUUUACAGCUGCACCACACUUCCCAAUAGAAAAGGACAGCAAAAAAAACCCUUAGGAAUUAUUUUUUUUAGAGCAAGCUCAAGAUGCUUCACCACUUAUCUCAAACCCUGCCUCAUAUCCCAUCCCACUCAGGCUUCCUUUCUGGUUAGAGCAAAAUGCUUGGGCUCAAAUUGUUCUCAAAUGGGCUGCCCAAAUUGUGCUGGAUUUCAUGUGCUGAAAUAUUUGUGGCAAGAAUUGCUUCGCUCCCCUAAACUCUAAUUUCAUACAUCCAAGCUGGGGAUAAUCCAGAGUGCUCCAACUGACACCGAUGGGACAUUUGUCUCAUUUAACUUUAGCCAUUCAAACAUUUGAGAAUUGCCUGUGCCAGUUGGAUGUUUGACUCCUGAUUGAUAGGAAAGGACUCUGGGUCCCCUCUGAGGCUCCACUUCCCACAAUAUUUUCAUGAAGUUAAGAAUUGCUGUUUGGCAAUUUGUCCCUUUACUCUGUAGGCAACUUUUAGUUGCCUAAACCAGAAAUCCUCCCAUUGGACACAGUUACAAGGACCUUCAGAUACGAUAAUCAGCAGCAAAUAAAAUAUUAAAUUACACUGAUGGAGCCUAAGCACAAAUUAACUGCAUGUUGUAAAGACAGAAGUAAAUUCUGUUAUUUAAUGUCCCUGUAAGUAUCAGCAGUCCUGAGAAUGAAUUUAUUUCUAUGUCUCACAGUUGCCUUCCUUCUGCACUUAAGCUGAAACCACCUUUCCCUUGCUCAGUAAAAUUAAUAUGAAAAAAAAUGAAGGUCACUUUGUAAUGUACCUUUUCCCCAUUUGAAACUUUUGCUGUUGGAUUUAUUGGUUGCAAAUGUGGCUGCCAAAGGUUAAACUUUAAGCACGUAUUCGAGGAAAGGGGAAGGAGGUCACACUUUCUAAACAAUUCUCAGCUUUUAUUUUCCUGACUCACUUUUAAAAUGUUCGUGUUAAUGCAUAGUUUGAGCAAAAAUAAAAUAUUCCUGUGCAAGAUUCUAUUAAAAAAAAUUUCCAGGGUUUAUCUUCUGAUACCCUUAUUGUUCAAAAACAUUCAGAUGACUCUGGUGUUAAUUUUAUAGCAAUAAUGUGAAAAUUGGCUUUUCCAGAAUAGCAGGUGAAAAUUCGGGAUCAUAAAGUGCACAUGGAUUCCUUAGUCAUAAAGGGGCUCCUAAUCCCAGUGAAUUAGGAUUCUAAUUUUCUAAUAAAAAAGGGGGUUUUUAAGGUAUUAGGAACAUUCAGAAGGAAUCUGCAGGAAUCUACAGGAAUUCUGGUUUCUAAUCUCCCCAUCUUCUCACACUGGGGGUCAUGAGAAGUUGCUACCACAGUUCUGGUAGGUCUGAUUCAGCCUUCCACGGAAACCUUGGGAAAUUUGGCUGAGGAUCUGGACAUAUUGACCAGAUAAUAAUCACAGAAGAGCUGAGAACAAGCCUGGAACCUUGAAAACAAAUCCCCACUCUCCCCAUCCUUCUCCUGCCUCUCUCCACACGCUCCUCAGAGGCUGUUCCACAAGCCCUGCUGGAGCUCCCCCCAAGCAGAUCAAAGAGGCAGAAUUACACCUUUCUGCAGGCAGGAUGACAAAGGAAUUCUGCUUUCAACAAAUCUCCUGCUCCCACACACAGCUGAAAUGUGUUGAUUUGCUGCAGCAGGAGCCAAAUUCCCUCCUGGAUAAGCAUGGUGAGAGUAUAUCCCUGACUGUCUGCAGGAGAUUAUAUAAAGCAAGUUAUAUAAUACAGCAAUUAAAGUCCUUUUAAUUUAAAUCAGCGAAGGUAGCCUGGCUACAUCUUAGCUAAUAUUUACCAAGAUGUUUCCUGUUGGGCCCAAAGAAACACAGUGUUUCUGACUGUCUGGGGUGGAAUUCCAUGCUGCAGGAGUCAGCAAAGGUGUCCCCAGGCACAAUAUGUUUAUAGAAGGUUCACUGCUCAUAGUCUGAAUCAGAGGGGCCUUUACCAAUAAAACUCUUCCAGGAAUAAACGUGACCUGUCAAGGUUAGCUGGCAAAACAAGGAGCUUCCCCCUCCCUGGCCCAGUCUCGUGUUUCCCAGGGAUCACUGGAAUAAGCAGAAACUCUCAGAUCUCCAUUCUUGGCUUUCCAACUACUGUCUCAGUCCCUCCACCCAGAAUAUUUGAUAGAUGCCUGGAAUGUAGCUGUUCUCAGAUGUAUUCCUGUUUUUUCUCUGCAUUCCUGGGGGUGGGUAAUGCCAACCAUUGCAGUUCCUGGGAGCUCUGUCCCACCUGGAGCUGCUCUGCUCCCUCACAGAUGGACUUGAGUGCUUCUCUUUGCUCUUACUCUCUUUCCACUGGUUUGGUUUGAAAAAUGUUGGCUGUGGGGGAUAAUGACCAGGAGCUUUAAUCGUUCUGUGGGUGAGUUUUGCCCAGGGCUGUGUGUGGAGCACAUUAAUCCAGGGAAAUGGCUUUAAUCCCAGCCACGUGCAGCUCUGGGGGAGAUCAGAGAGCGAGGGAAGGGGAAGGUGGUUUGUGUUUGAUGGGGACCUGACAAGAACAAAGUUUCUUUGCCUCCAUUUCCCUGAAGUUCUGAUAUCUGUGUCUUCACAGGCAUUUCUUCCCUCCCAGCAAAGGAUGUCUGAGCAAAGUUGGCAGAACUGAAUCAUGAGGGGGAGAACAGAAAUGGAAAGCAUCUCCCUGACCCCACAGCCUUCGUUAGAAACACAUCUUUGUUGGGGAUUCAGAUGAAGUUCUAAGCAGCUUAGGUAAAAGAAAGGGGAUACAGAGUUAAAGGAUUAUUUCUUUUCCCAGUUCUGUUCAGUUCUUUGCAAAACUCAGAUCUUCUUUCAGCCCUUCCUGUGUUUUCCUGUGUGUUGAACUUUCUCUGAACAAAGUACGUGAAAUAUCCAAUUCCUAAUACCUCAUAAAAUGCUUCUUUAUCAGGAAAGCAAACUCUAACACUUAGUUUUGUGGAUUAUCUGCUGGUGCUUCACUCCCCAACCCUUGGGAAAGGGCAGCUCAUGUGCCCUUCACUGGCUGCCCUGGAGAGCAGGAAUUGCCCAUUGGGAUGGGAUGGAGAGAAGGAAUGGGAUGGGAGGGAGAGCAGGAAUGGGAUGGGAGGGAGAGCAGGAAUGGGAUGGGAGGGAGAGCAGGAAUGGGAUGGGAGGGAGAGCAGGAAUGGCCUGUUGGGACGGGAUGCAGGGCAGGAAUAGCCUCCUGGGAUGGAAUGGAGAGCAGGAGUGAACUGUUGGGAUGGGAUGGAGAGCAGGAGUGGACUGUUGGGAUGGGAUGGAGAGCAGGAGUGGACUGUUGGGAUGGGAUGGAGAGCAGGAGUGGACUGUUGGGAUGGGAUGGAGAGCAGGAGUGGACUGUUGGGAUGGGAUGGAGAGCAGGAGUGGACUGUUGGGAUGGGAUGGAGAGCAGGAAUGGCCUAUUGGGAUGGGAUGCCAGAUGCAGAUUCUGUCCUGCUGCUUGUAUCAAGCUCUGAAUGAAGGAGUGUCAGAGAGAGCUGGCCCUCCACUGAGUUAAUUGUGAGUGGAGCCAAAACCCAAGGUCACUGGAGCAGCCAGUGAGCCCUGGGGAAUGUCUGAGAAGGAUCUGAUCUGUCAUAGAGAAUGUCUGAGAAGGAUCUGAGCUGCCCCAUGCCCUGUGCACCUUCCUGAGGGACACAUCAGCCCCGGGACCAGCCCUGCUGGCACUGGGAGCUGCCAGAGCCCAGUUUGCUCCUUGCCCUGGCAAUGCCAGCAGGGAGUUUGUGCCCUGACACACCUCAGAGCACUGAGCACAGGGCCUGGGCCUCCCAAGGCUUGACUGAAAUGCCAGUUCCAUGUGGGAAAUGUGACCCCUCCAUCUGGCUCAGGGAUAAUCUGGAGCCCUGUCCCAGCUCCAGCCCGAGCGGCUGCACUUUGCCAACCUAAAGUCCAAGUGGAAUUUCAAGUGGAUGCACCAAAGAAUUUAUGCCCUGCCUUGCCCUCUGUGCUCCUGAACAGAAUUACUGAGAGUUGCAGAGCUGCCCUUUUCCCUCAGUGCUGGCUGGUGCUCAGCAGGAGAGGCAGAGGGGCAGUUCAUAAUAUCCCCUGGGAAUAUGGAAUAUCCUUGGAACAGAUGUCUUCCACCUCAGAUUUCUGUAGGCACACAGCUCUAUGUGAGCACCUAAGGAAGAAUCUCUCUCAAGUGCCAAAAUUUCCUCUUCAAAUGGGAAGAGGGAGGUUUCAUCCUUCUGUUUUUAAACUGGAUGAACCAAGACUGUCCCAGCCCAUCCCACCAGGGAUACAACAAGGACAUGCACUAUCCCAUUUCUUCCUUUCUUCCUUCCUUCCUUCUUUCCUUCCCUUCCUUCCCUCUCUUCUUUUCCUUCCUUUCCUUCCCUUUCUUCUCUCCCUCCCUUCCUUCCCUCCCUCUUUCCCUCAUGUCCUGGUUUCCCUCACAAAGCUGACUGAAAUAAUUCAUUCAUGGCAACACAGGCACAUGAAUAAAUGAAAAACCAGGCACUGCAGCACUGGAGACUCAAGCAAAUCUUGUUUUCUGAAAGCUUAGGAGUGUUCGGGGUCCUCAAAGGUUAAAAUACUUACUUCAGACGUAUAAAUAAAGGAUUUACAGCAAUAAAGACAUUACUGUCAUUGUUAGCAAUUAAUAAUACUGUAAUUAGUGCUGCACAGAAAUUAAUCCAUGGCUGCAUUUACUGGGGUAGAGGCUGAAGGCUUCAGCUGAGUGGAGAGCAAAGGACUUGUCUGAUAUACGAACAUGGGGAAGGUUUUGGUAAAAGUACAGAAAUGUGGCCCUUGUAGAGCAGCUCUGUCUACACAAGAACAUUUGCCAGCACUUUUGAGCGACAAUCACCUCAUUGGCAUCAAGGAAAAUGUCAUUAUUUGAUAUUUUUGCAGUGCUGAGCUAAUUCCAUGGCUAGACUGGAUCUCCCACAGCACCUUCUGCUCUGGCAGAGAAUCCAGGGGCACCAGGAGCUGUGCAGCCAAGCUGGUUUCCUUGCCCCUGGAGACAGGGAACUGGGAGCUGAGCUGCCUUCACAGCAGGAUUUCUCAACAGAACUAGUCCUACUUUAGGUUUCCACCGAAAAUAUUAAAUUUUCAGUAGGAAAUGGCUCUCUAGGACGAAUGAUUUUUCAAACAAAUUGUAUCUUUGGGCAUUUUACUUCAGUCAAAAAAAACCCCCCAACAAAAUAAUCCUCAUUGCAGUGGACCUGUGUGUGACAUGUUGUUGUGGUUGUAUAAGAAAAAAUCAGGAUUUAACUCAUCAACAGUGUUAUGCUAGUUUUGUAUUCUACUUCAAGAGAAUUGAUUCUGAUGGACUGAGAAUUCUUGAAAAUAAAGCUCGUUGCUUUUAGCUGGAAAUUUUUAAUGGAGAAAUGCAGGUUUUGUCUGGUUACUUCUCCUCUCUGUUGCCUGACAGAGGCACUGUGCUCCAAAUGUGAGAAAGGCAGAUGGAAUCAGUUCUCAUCUGGAAGUGUGGGAGCAGAACCCACCCAUACUCCAAGAACUGCCAGCACUGAGCUGGGCUGGAAGGCAGAGCUGCACAACCCCCCCUGAAAGGCAGGGGGGCAGUGGGCAGAGUCAUGUGAGCCAGCUCUGCACAUUCCCUCGCUCUGCUGGUCCCUGCUGGAGUAUUUAAGGGGUUCAAUCAUUAACUCAACAUUUUGUUUCUCCAGGCUGGCAAUGUCAAGUCUCAGCCCCCAGCACGGUGUGGCCAGAGGGUUUGUGCUGGUUCUGGGAUCAGUGACACAGCAAGAGACCCUUCCCCAAGGUGAAAGCUCCUGGGAAUGCUGCUCUGCCCCUGCUGUGCCACCCGAGCUCGGGGUAUCUCAGUGUUCAGCACUGCCUUGGCAUAGCAAAGCUUCUGUGCAGCCUUUCUUUCCAAAGUACUGCUAAAUUUAAGCUGCUUGUACCAUUGUGCUGGUAAAUUUAAACUGACUGUACCUCUGUUCCAGCCCAAAAAGGACCCAGCUCUGGGAGCGGGAACUGCUGACAGAAAACAUGUGGAGCAGCUUUCGGUGGGGUUGGAAAGAGGUUCUGCUCACUCAGUGCACAGGAGGAGCAGGAAGCUGCUCUGUCUAUGCUAAAGGAACAAAAGCAAGAAAGCAAAUUUGCUGUGAUAAGAAAGUCUUCUCCCAGUAUUUCAGAGAACAGCCAAUUCCAGCUCCAGAGCAGAGCCAUGGUAAAGGAAUAUUUGGAAUAAACUACAAGGGCCUUGCUGGUCCUGCUGUGGUCACACAGCACACUCAGCCCCAGAGACAGGAUUUGAUGGACUCCUUGUCAGGUCUGGGAUAAUCCCUGUGCAGGAACCUGAGGAGAUGAGGGAAAGGCAAAUAAAUCCCCAGCCUGGGUGACCCUGCAGCAGGCAGUGUUCCUUUUGUUUUCAGGAUCCAGACUAGACAUGUUCCAGAAAGAUGCCUGCGUGCCCUCCUGGGAUGAAUUUCACACCGGGGGAUCACUGUUCUGCUGCAAUCUUUCACCUGCUUAUUGCACCAGGGAAAACCCCAGAUGGGAAUAUUUUCCUGGAACGUGAAGAGCACUGUCCUCACCUUUAGUCAGGCUCUGACUUCAGCAGCCCAGGCUUUGGUGGUUAUCAAGGUGACUUUGAUUUCUAAGCUGGCAAAACUCCCACUGUGCUGUGCUGGCUUGGUGCCAAUAAUCCAACCAGAGCAGCCCAGAUAGGGACUAUCACGUUGGUCUUGAUAAGCCAGACUCACCCCCUGCUCUGCCAGCUUUCCAUUGGGAAUGCCAAGCCCUGAGCAGUAGGAUUGGGAGAGGAAAGGCUUAGAGAGAAACCAGAUGAGCUGCCAGGUGGGAGCUGCUCUCUGCAGCCUCCCCUGAGAUGGGUGAAGAGGAGACAGGAAGAUUCAUCUGGCAAGAGGCAGUUGUUGAUCUGUGGCCCUGACUCUGUGGUCUCAGACUGUUUCCAUUGCUUUCUAACUCAUGUCCCUGUCUGCAAAGGAAGGAAGAAUAAUUUCACUACUUUACAUGCAACUGUGAGACUAUUUUAAGAUUGAGAAUGGGGGUUUCACGAUGUAGAGAGUUAUUUUAUUACAACUUCUGGGCUGCCCUGCCCUGUCAGAUCAGUUUGAUGCAUCAGUAGUAACUGCUGAUCCCUGAACACAGUUGUCACUUGAAGUAUUUUGAGAUCUUUCAGGAGCAGUGCUGUGCUAUUAAUAGAAAUUAUUGCUAUUUUUUUCCAUAUAGAAAGGCAGUUCUUUCAUACUUUGUCACUUCCUUCAUGUAAACAAAGUGAGGAGGGCUUUCUCUCAAGAUGAAAGUGUGUGUGUGCAGCCCUUCCCUUGGAUCAUUUCUGUCACUGAACCGUGUGGAAAGUAGUUUUCCAUCUCUGCCUGUCUCAGUUGCCAGGGAUUAAAGGCUGCACUGAAGCCUAAAUUCUCUGCUGCUGCUCAUUACUGAGCACCUCUCACCCCCCCUUCCUUUAAUAACAGUAUUCUCACAGUAAAUCCCACAGAUAUAUAGUUUAUGGAAGUCUUUUCUACUAUUAGUUCUUUUGCUAUUUUUCUGCCUGUUCCUGGCUCUGCUGCUGCUUGGAUUUGGCCUUGUUUUCCAUUUGAGCUGUCUUUGUUUCUUGAAUUUCUGUACUGAGGGUCGUAGUUUCUCUUAGACAGGGAUAUUAACACGUGUUAAGUUCCUCUGAAUGUGCCCUGCCUCCCAUUCAGAAGUUUUCCAGCAGAUGUGUUGAAAGGAAUAUCGUUCCAGACUUGCUCUCCAUCAAUAGGCAUUUUGGACUUAAGUUUUUUGAAGUUGCUUUUUACCUGAGAAGCACAAAGAACCCCCUGUGGCUGUGAUCAAAGCCAGGUGGGCUCUGGUGGUACCACAGGGAAUGGAUGGAACCUCUUAAUUCUCCCUGAACAUCCCCAAAGCAAAGAAACCUACAGUGACCCCACGGAAUUGUUUGAAAGGGAAAGGAUUUGUUGCAUUCCUGAACAGAUGCACGUUCCCCUGUACCCUUUUGGAGAACACAGGCUCUCUGCUCCAUGAAUUCCUGUCUGCCUCUGCCCAUCUGAUGUGCUGAGCUGACACUGGAGCACAUCAGCUGCUGCCUGGUGAUUUUCCUGCCCCUCUCUCUGCUCCCUGCACGUCUGUCAGGGAGGAGCAGCUCCCCAGACUGGCCCUUGCUGGCUGAUGCCGUGCAUAUCAUCAGUCCAGGCUCAACAAUGAGACUCUCAGACACCAAUAGUUUGGAAGAUUUCUUUCCAGCCCAAAUACUGCAGCCCGUGAUUGACAGGUUUUGUCCUGCCCCUGGUUCCUGGAGCCUGAUUUGGAUGAUUUUCUACAGCCUCUCCAGACACAUUUUGUCCCACCACAGUCUCACCUGCACAGUUCCCUUCCCCAGCUCUCCUUGGCUGCUGCACCCUGGAGUGGGGUAAGAGCCCUCACUCCAGAGGAGUGUGCAGGGAACAACAGCUCACCCUGCAACCCCUGCUACGGCUGUGAGAGCUCCCAGGACGUGGGCUGUGAAAAAGGCUGAUUUCAGAGGUUGCCAGCUGCAGUCAGAGCUGCUAAAGGCAUUUGCUGCUCUUUCCUACAAGGCCUGAUGAAGCGAAUUUUGUCCCUCUGAAUUACAGCCCGCUUGUGCCCAGAGAUUGGGUAAAAUGUUCCAGGGAUUUAUUACAAUGUAAUGCCAUGAAAGCUGAACAAAUUUCAGGAACAAAUUUUGAGGAUCAAAUCUCAGUGGGCAGCUAUUUGCCUAAUGUCCUACUUUCCCCCACAUCUCCUGCAGGAAGCAAAUAGCUUCUCGUUACACAGGAGCCUGAUUACUCCCCCAAAACACUAACACUCAAAAUUGCCCCUUUUAAGGCUAUUUUCUGCUUUCAGGGGCAAGAACCCUUUGAAGGUACUGGGGAACACAAGCUGAAGAUCUAAAGCCAGGAAUACUCUGCUUUCCCUGGCAUAUGCAGUAUUUCACCAGCAGAGCUUUUUCUAAUCCAAUCCUUCAGUUCCUUCUCUUCUCCUAAUUAUUUAUUUAAGUAUAAUUGACUUGCAAGACAUUCGUGGCUUUCAGUGUGCACUGAGUGAAUUAUUGACCCGUCACAUGGGUCAUUGAUGUGAAGAGACAUCUGAACAAACUGGGUGCAAAGCAGCUCCUUUGCAUUCCUAAUAGCAAUUGGGAGCCAUUAAUAACUUUGCUGCUUGGUGCUCUCAGAGCCUGCACAGUUUUAGUUUGACAUGCAUAUGGCUGAGUUCAUCCUCAGUGUAAUUUGAAAUUCAUUGGCCAUGGACCUCAUCUCCUUCUGCUCCUUGAAAAUCUCUCCUGUGCUGAGACAGGCUAUGCUAAUUCCAGAGUUUAUGGCUGACUUGAGAUGUUACAUUUGAAAAAUCAAAUCCAAUUAAAUCAACUUAUUAGCAGGGUCAGAGACCAGUAUUCAGCUCAUUCUGUUCCUCACUGUUUCACAGCAAGGAGUGAACUGAGGGAGUGUUUUGUGUCUCAACCCAAACCAAACUGAUCUGCCCUAAUAAAAUGGCUUUUGGCUGCA